AUGGAAGGAACUUACAUAACCAGUGAGCACAGCUAUCAAAAGCCACCAAGCUUUGGUCAGGAGUGCAGAUCUCUUGCAGACCCUGGGAGCUCAGAUGACGAUGAUAUGAGCAGUUUUGAGGACGAACAAGAAUUCCACAUGAGAGAGAAAAACCGUUUCCAAUACUCAUCAAAAGAGCAUGGAGUUCUAAACAAGAACCCGGCUGCAGGAAAUAAGGCAUUUGUUCACAAUGAGAGAAGGGGCACUGAAGGUCCAGGAGAUGCGCAUCUUCAGUGGCAGCUCAAUCUCCUCACCCACAUUGAGAACGUGCAGAAUGAAGUCACCAGCAGGAUGGACCUCAUAGAAAAAGAAGUCGAUGUUCUGGAAAGCUGGCUUGAUUUCACAGGGGAAUUGGAGCCACCAGAUCCUCUCGCAAGACUGCCCCAACUUAAACGGCACGUAAAACAGCUCCUAAUUGAUGUGGGCAAAGUACAACAAAUAGCAACGCUUUGCUCUGUAUGACAACAGUGAACACGUAAUGAAAAGAAUUUGGCUGUCUUCAGUGGAAUCGUUUUAGCUACAUGAUUGCUAAGUGGAUAGUUAAAAAGCUUAGUAAUGUUUGGUUAAUUACUGAUUGUGAUGUCAAUAGGAUGGCACCUUGGAAGGGAAAAUGAAGAGCAACUCUCUCAAGGAAGCUAAUACUAAAAAGUGUGUGAGCAAGCUGCAAAUGCUAAUGUUUUAUAUGCCAAGAUCAAUGAAGUAGAACAAAAUCUAUACUGAGGGAAUCAAAUUGGCAGGAUGUUUGAAUGGUUGCUUACCUGAAGUUGAAAAACCUGUAGAAAGAAAUAUGGUGUGUUUAUGUAGUUGUUAGUAGAAAGAUCCACAUUUGUAAACCAACAUUUGGCUAAAAACAAAAUUGUAAAGGAAAUCUAAAUCCUGGAAAGCUCUACAAGGUUGCUGUAAGAACUGCCUUCUCAGCAGUUGGAUCCAGCUGUGCGGAAGUUUAGGUUAUUUCAACUUUAUAAGAUCAUGAGCUUUUUCUUGGGUAAUGAAUGUCCUUAAUCAGAAAAGUGACACUAAAAGUCUCACUUUGGGGGAAAACAAUUGUGGAAUUCUUCUUUAUGAAUGUAUUUAGAAAACAAACACCAAGUAAUUGGAAUUUAUUGCAGGCAUUAAGGUCAUUAAAAACAAAUUGGCUUGCAGAAGGGUCUGAUGUGCCAAAUGAUGAUAACUGCUGGAAAGAAGAUAUUGAAUAUUGUGGGGUUUCUUCCACCCCACAUCUUGCAUAAUGCAUCAGUCCAAGCAAACCUGUAUCUCACGCGCACUAUCUAUAUCAGAUACAUGGUUGAAUGGCAGUAUUCAGGCUUCAUUGUGCCACUUGGUCCUGGAUAUGCUUGGUGUUGCCUUCAGGAAAAAAAUUACAAAUAACCUCAGCUGGGAUGAGGAGUGACAAAAAUAUCAAAAUAAUUUGUGGCUUUUUUAAACUGCUAGUAGUGGAAUACUGGAAAAACUUCAUUUCUGAAGAUGAAUUUUAUUUUUUAAAAAUACAUGCAUACUCAAAACUUUUAGCUUUGAUCGCAAAUGGACAGAUUUCUGAAACCAAAGGCAACUAAGUUGCUGUCUUAGCUCUUGCUGGGUUUUGAGCCUAGGUCCUACUGUCCACCAGUCCUCAUGUGAGUUCUGUGUGCCUCCAGUGCUCUUUGCAGGUGUGCAUAGUGUGUGCUUGUGUAAACACUCAACGUGCAUAUGUACAUAGUUGACACAUAUUUAUAUCACACAUAUCUAGUUUUAUUACUAUAGACUCUAUGACUUGGUGGUUAACAUGAAAUGUUACCUUUUAACAGACUGUUUUUAAAAAUUAAAAAUGUAUGUACAGGUUUUGGAAUUUUUUUAAAAAGGAGAGAAAAGACUGUUAAGAGGAGGCUUUUUGAUGACAUAACACUUGAAUAUUUUAUGCCUCAUUCUGUUUAUCAGUUCUAGCAGUCUGUAUAAAUGCAUUUUAGAACUGAUAGACAGGGAACUUGAAUUUAUCUUUGAUAAGAAUACAUGCCACUGUACAUUCAGAUAUUAUUUAAAUUUGCAAACACACUGUUCUAUAUGUAAGGUACUGUAUGUAAAACUCUUUAUUAAAACUAUUCCACAUAUCCUAAAAUUUCAGCUUGCCUUUUUGCGGCCUUAUAUUUCCAUGUAAAAUUAAAAGAAUGUGCAAAACUGUCAGAAAUUAUAUUGCCUUUUGAGAUUCUCCAAGUUAACAAGUGUGCCAAAGAUCAAUAGACAUAAAAUAUAGUUCUCUGUAUUUACUUGUGUUACGUUAACUUUGUUAAAGAUCUUAUUGAUAAAAGCUUUAGCAGAGGUCCUCUUGUGAGGUAGUUGCUUAAAUUUGCAUAUUAAAGUAAAAAAUAUUGCCUAUUUUCUAUGUGUGGAGUAAAUUUGCUAAUGUCUGUAUUCCAAGAUUGAUGCUAUACCUUUCAUUUUUGUUUAAAAAUAAUGAGUCUAACAUUUUUCCUGUCAUGGUUGAACUCUAGACGUUGAAUUUACAUCUUUUGUUUCUUUUAGAAAUGGAGCAGAUAGCAUCUUUAAACUAUGAGUAGUGGCCUUGCCUAGACUCUGGUCACACACACACACAAGACCCUUCACCCCCAGUGAUACUCAUCUUCUCAGUUGCUGGUGGACACAGUUAAAUUAAUGCACAUUUCUUCUUACAGUACAGAUUGAGCGUCCUUGAUUCCAAAGUCUGAAAUACUUCAAAAUGGGAAGCUUUUUGAAUACUGAGAGAUGGUACAAGUGAAAAAUUUCACACCUCAUCCCAGGUGGCAGGUCACAAUCAAAAUGCAGGCUCACUAAAAAUGCUGUAUAAAUUUGGCUUCAGGCUAUGUAUAUAAGGUGUGUAUGAAACAAAUGAGUUUCAUGUUCAGAUUUGGGCCUUACCCUUAAGAUGGGUCAUUAUGUAAAUGAGAUAUUCCAAUCUAAAAAAAAUCCAAGCUCCAAAAUGCUUCUGGUCCUAAACAUUUCCAGUAAAGGAUACUAAACUUUUAUCUUUAGAUUACUUUAUUAGCAGCUAGCAAAUUGGAAUUUCCAUUCAUAAUUACAAGACAAGUUUUAUUCUGCUUACAAAUAUAUGAAUUGGAAAUCUAAUCUUUAUCAAAUUAUUCACAUGCCCAUUUAAUAUGGAUCAUAUCAACAAUUGGUUGAAGCCUUUUAGCAACUAGUGGGCUGAGCCUUUCAUUUGUUGAGAGAAUAAAUUAGUUUUGGAGAGGCAAGUCCAUUGUCAGAAGUGUCAGAUGAGUUAUUUUUCCUUUUAGUCUUACAUUUAAAAAGUCACAAUAUAUAUUUAAAUAUAGGACAGUAAUUUAGUUUUUUGAAAAGGUGAUAUUUUAUUUGCCAUUCAGAUAAAGUAGAGUGAGCUUACAUGGGGAGGCAACCCUCUUAGUGUAUUACUGAUAAAUAUAAUUUGUACUUCAUCCUACUUGUUUGUGGUUUUUAUUUUCAUACUUUUAAGAAUAAUGUACAUACUUUUUCCUUAACGGAACUUGGUUAUUAUAAUUUCUGGUAAAACCACUUUACUUAACACUCAUUUUCACUGACUUACUCCCUCUCAAGUGUUCAUAUUUCACAUGUUCAAAAUGAAGCAUACUAUUUCCCCUCCAAUAAACUGAAUCUCCUGCUAACAUCACUGUCUCUGUCAGUAGCAUUAUCUAAGAGACCAGGCUUGAAAUGCUGAGUUAUGGCUCAUUGUCCAGUGAUGCCCAACAGUUAGUUAUCAGAGAUGUCUGAUCACCUGAUUGUGGGUAUAGCAG
rnacentral:lncRNA from 1 species